CCGCAGCUCAAGUCCCUGCUGCCUGCCUCCGGGGGUCUGGCAGGUCCCGGCCUGCCACCUCCCCGGAGACUUGAUGGCCACGGAGGGCCUGGCAGGGGCGCUGGCCACCGUGCUGGGGGGGAAGGGGUUGCUGGUGCAGAGCUGUGACUCGGAGCCGGCUGGCAAGCCGCUGUUGCCCGUGCGACUGCGGAAGAAUGUCUGCUACGUGGUGCUGGCCGUGUUCCUCAACGAGCAGGAACUACACAUUGAGCCCAAAGGGAGGGUGCCAUGAAUCCAGUCAUUCUGAGGGCACACGAUGCUUCUCUUUAAGUUUGAAAGGAGCUUUUCGAACCGUAAAUGGCACCAUCUUCUCUGUCCACUUUGGAAAAGGCCGCAUGUCAAUCCUUCCAACCCCACAGCAAUGUAGAGGGGGAUGGGACAAGGGGGAUGCAUCCCUCAGGGCAGAGUCCUCAUUGCUGAGUAAAAAGGUGUUGCUUAA
rnacentral:lncRNA from 1 species